rnacentral:rRNA from 1 species
UAACCUGCCUUGGAUGGGGAAGUAACAGCUGGAAACAGCUGCUAAUACCGCAUGAUGCAGUUGGUCGCAUGCUCUGACUGCCAAAGAUUUAUCGCUCUGAGAUGGACUCGCGUCUGAUUAGCUAGUUGGCGGGGCAACGGCCCACCAAGGCGACGAUCAGUAGCCGGACUGAGAGGUUGGCCGGCCACAUUGGGACUGAGACACGGCCCAGACUCCUACGGGAGGCAGCAG